rnacentral:rRNA from 1 species
UACGUAGGGUCCGAGCGUUGUCCGGAAUUACUGGGCGUAAAGAGCGUGUAGGCGGCUUUGCAAGUCCGUUGUGAAAACUCGAGGCUCAACCUCGAGACGCCGGUGGAAACUGCAAAGCUAGAGUCCGGAAGAGGAGAGUGGAAUUCCUGGUGUAGCGGUGAAAUGCGCAGAUAUCAGGAAGAACACCCGUGGCGAAGGCGGCUCUCUGGGACGGUACUGACGCUGAGACGCGAAAGCGUGGGGAGCGAACAGG